GCGAGCGUUGUUCGGAGUUACUGGGCGUAAAGGGUGCGUAGGCGGUUUUCCAAGUCUGGUGUGAAAUCUCCCGGCUCAACUGGGAGGGUGCGCUAGAAACUGGGAGGCUGGAGUGCGGGAGAGGUAGGCGGAAUUCCUGGUGUAGCGGUGAAAUGCGUAGAUAUCAGGAGGAACACCGGUGGUGUAGACGGCCUGCUGGACCGUAACUGACGCUGAAGCACGAAAGCGUGGGGAGCAAACAGG
rnacentral:rRNA from 1 species